rfam:Coniophora puteana RWD-64-598 SS2 unplaced genomic scaffold CONPTscaffold_5, whole genome shotgun sequence.
GGUUCUGUAGUGUAGCGGUUAUCACUCGAGAUUCUGAGUCGAGUCUUCUCGAAACCCAGGUUCGAAUCCUGGCAGGACCU